rnacentral:rRNA from 1 species
UACGAAGGGGGCUAGCGUUGUUCGGAAUUACUGGGCGUAAAGCGCACGUAGGCGGAUUUGUUAGUCACGGGUGAAAUCCCGGGGCUCAACCUCGGAAUUGCCUUUGAUACUGCAAGUCUCGAGUCCGGAAGAGGUGAGUGGAAUUCCUAGUGUAGAGGUGAAAUUCGUAGAUAUUAGGAAGAACACCAGUGGCGAAGGCGGCUCACUGGUCCGGUACUGACGCUGAGGUGCGAAAGCGUGGGGAGCAAACAGG